UAACAAAAUCAAACAAUCAUUUUUAAGAGAAAAAAAUUACCAAAACAAGAUUUUAUUAGGCGGCAUAUCCCAGAAUCCCUCAAGAUCGAAAACCCUGGUGAGUUUUUUUACUUCUUCUUCUCAAACUAAAUCUGAUUGUAUUUUUAUGUUUUGGGGGUUUCAUGCUUUUGAUUCUUGCGCCUGGGAUUUCUUUGGUUUUUGUUUGAAUUGAAUUGGUGUGGAUUGUCCUAGGGUAUUCUUUCUUCAAUUGGACUGUGGGAAAAAUCCUAUUUUUAGGUCUCAAUAAUGCCGAAAAACUCACCUUGCUUCAUAUGAGGUUCCAAAUUCAACUUUUUGCUCUCAAUUUUAAUUCGUGAUUUUGUAGUGAGAUUUUGAUUUACUUUGUUGGAGUAAUUUUUAAUUAGUGUUUCUGGCAAAUUUUCGAUAUAAUUCUGAUUUAUAUUACUGUAUUACAUUGAGCAUUUAACAAAGUUUUUAUAAUGCCUGAAUUGCAUCGGGUUUGUUGGGAGCUUGGCUUGCUUCUGCUAGGCUAAGUGUAGGUUGUAGCUUUGCAUUUGUUUGCUGGUUUCAGGCUGAGUUCAAUUCUGGUUGUAUCUGGAUAGGGUGCUAUGUUCUGUUUUUGAUGUUUGCAGGGGCUGUUUUCUUUUGUUCUUACAGUCUGGUUGAAGGUCUUAUCUGUUGGGGUCUACUCCUUUCUGUAUGUUGCAGCUUCUUUUCUUUGUUGGCUGGCAGUUCCAGUGUUUCUGCUGCUCUGUUAUAUCGUGCUGUGCUGUUGUUGCUGUGGAGAGUACUUGCUAGCUGCAGAUCUUCUUUAUGCAGCAUUAUAUGCUAGUUUUUUAGUGGGGAACUUUGUGGAACAACUAUGGAAUUUUGCUUGGCCAGCUGCUAUUGCAAUGAUCCAUCCAAGCCUUCUUCCUGUUGCAGUCAUGAGCUUUUUUUACUAAGCUUGCAGUUAUUCUUGGAGGGCCAUUAGUUCGAAAACUUAUGGAUCAUUACCCCAGAGUACAUGCAUUUAAUUUUCUAAGCUUUAUCCAGGCAAUUUCCCAGCUGAUGUCUGUGGCAAUGAUUAUUCAUGCUCAUCAAGUUCGGUCUGCUGCUGUGUCAUCUGUUCUACUUCGCCCGUGGUUUAUUAUUCUUGUUUUUGCGAGUGCAAUUGAGCGAAUGUGGGUUAGCUUUGGGCGUAGCCAUGGAGCGUGACUGGCUUGUACUGCUAGCUGGGACCAAUCGACCUAUUGCACUUGCUUAUGCUAAUGCUGGUAUCAAUCGAAUUGAUCUUCUGUGUGAGGAGCAUCACUAUUCGGUAUUCUUUUGUCUAAAUAUGACCCUGUGACCUGUUUGAAAUACGCGGCUGGUUUAUGGGGUUUACCGCUUGCAGUUGCUCUCACUUGGUUAACCAACAGGGUUUCCACUGGUGUUCUUGACCGUGCUAAGUGUCAACAGACCUGUUCUGAAAGUCCUGCUCGAUUAACCCAGGAAGAUAAUAAGAAUAUAGCUUGUCUGUCAUUUCUUACAGUAUUUUAACAAAGCUCUUAAGCUAGCUCAAGGGGAUGGUCGGUUACCUCAGUUCACUCCUGCAGACGAACUGCCCUGUUACCUCAGUUUACUCCUGCAGACGAACUGCCUUGUUGCGGCAGAAGCUCCAGUUGUUGUUGCUGCAGAAGCUCCGGUUGCUGCCGCUGCAGAGUCACCUGUUGCUGCCGCUACAGAAGAUCUUUGAUUUUUUUUUAUUUUUUUUAUUAUUGACAUCGGAAUGGUAUUUUUUUUUGCUGUACCUUGUAUAGGAUUUUGUUAUUGUAUGAACAAUAGUAUUUUGUUAUUGAAGGAAAUUAUUUUUGGAAAGAUUGUGUGGAUAUCAUUUUUAUUUUAUCCAUUUAGAUUUGGUUUACGGAGCUAGGAUCGUAAUAUCCUAUUUUAGGGAUGUGUGAACUGCUAUUUUUGAAUAAUAUAUUUUUUAAAAAAGGGGUAGAAUAUUGUGUAAGGAAAUUGCUUUCUAUUUUAAUAUUAAACAGGAAGUA